CUGAAAUAUAUUUUAUCAUAUAUACAGAUGUUUUCCACCUCAGUAUUGUGUAAUCCUCUUCAUCCAAGUCUUCUCGAAUACAAAACGAACGAUCUACUUUUAACAGUAACCCAAAUAUGGCACUGUGUAUUCCAACGAAUAGCCAAUCAUUUCAAAUCAAGUUGAGCGGGUCUCAUCGGUAUUUUCUGGGUAUUUUUGACGAAAAUAUGCAACCAGUGAUCAGUUGAAUUGAUACCUUUUCAUCUACCAGAAGAUUUAAGGAUCUUAUUGCUUGGAAAACUGUUCGAGCUCCCGGGCUGGCAUGCACUGCAGGUACAGUGAAAUCAAUUAUGCAGGUUCUUGAAGAAAGUCAUGGAUGACAACAAUGUAUGAUUUACCAGACCAAGGGAUCCCAAUGUUUUUUUGACGGUACUUGCUCCAGCUACUCAGCUUACUGUGAGAGAGUUAACACCUUAUUGACAUAUCUUUCAUGAAGGAGAAACACUUGAGAAGAGUUCAAGAAUUUAAUUUUAUAGAUGGCAACAUGUUAUCUUCAAAAUGAGGGACCUGUCAACUUUUACAAUUCCAAGAUCAGGAAAUAAUUCAUGAGCGGCAACAUGCUACUGGGAGAAAGGAAAACAGUAGAAGACUGCCUGCAUGAGAAUAAAAGUUUUGGACUCUGAAAAGGAAUAUGUGACAAAAUAUAUAUUUGGACAGUUGUUGAUUUCCACAGAAACGCAUGUCGAGUGACAUAAAAGUGGAGCACAGUUGCAUGUCAAUUCAAAUCUUUAAAUUCAAGGAUGAACAAUUGGUUCUUUAUAAAACAAAAUGACAUGUUUGAAAAGGAUUUUAGUGCAAUGUACUCUGUCCUGGAUACUUAUCUAUGUGUAUGGGAUUUGCAGGAUAGACUAUGUACAACAGAUACUGUCAAGAAAUUUGAUGUUGUUGAUUAUAUGUUUGUAUAAAAA